GCUAAACAUCCAUAGCUGAAUGGUUAAAGCAUUCAACUCAUAAUUGGCAAAUUCCUAAGUUCAGUUCCUAUUGGACUUUCU
rnacentral:tRNA from 1 species